AGGUAGAGAAUACUAAGGCGCUUGAGAGAACUCGGGUGAAGGAACUCGGCAAAAUUGUACCGUAACUUCGGGAGAAGGUACGCCCUUUUUGGUGAUCGGACUUGCUCCGUAAGCUAGAGAGGGCCGAAGAUACCAGUUAGCUGCGACUGUUUAUUAAAAACACAGCACUGUGCUAAAUCGAAAGAUGACGUAUACGGUGUGACACCUGCCCGGUGCCGGAAGGUUAAUUGAUGGGGUUAGCGUAAGCGAAGCUCUUGAUCGAAGCCCCGGUAAACGGCGGCCGUAACUAUGACGGUC
rnacentral:rRNA from 1 species